UUGACAACACUGGAGGCUGAAGCCCUCUAUUUAUCCACAGAACAGAUUCAGCACGGGCGGCAGCAAUGCAAGCUUCCCCACACUGCCCCCACCAAUGUACCUCAUCUCUGUCCUGGAGGGACCACCUCUAGAGGUGAGAGGAUAGUUCAGUCUCCAUGACCCAUUCAGUCCUUGGACUUU
rfam:Pelodiscus sinensis unplaced genomic scaffold scaffold437, whole genome shotgun sequence.